rnacentral:rRNA from 1 species
GACGAACGCUGGCGGCGUGCUUAACACAUGCAAGUCGAACGGAAAGGCCCUGCUUUUGUGGGGUGCUCGAGUGGCGAACGGGUGAGUAACACGUGAGUAACCUGCCCUUGACUUUGGGAUAACUUCAGGAAACUGGGGCUAAUACCGGAUAUGAGCUCCUGCUGCAUGGUGGGGGUUGGAAAGUUUCGGCGGUUGGGGAUGGACUCGCGGCUUAUCAGCUUGUUGGUGGGGUAGUGGCUUACCAAGGCUUUGACGGGUAGCCGGCCUGAGAGGGUGACCGGCCACAUUGGGACUGAGAUACGGCCAAGACUCAUACGGGAGGCAGCAGUGGGGAAUAUUGCACAAUGGGCGGAAGCCUGAUGCAGCAACGCCGCGUGCGGGAUGACGGCCUUCGGGUUGUAAACCGCUUUCGCCUGUGACGAAGAGUGAGUGACGGUAAUGGGUAAAGAAGCACCGGCUAACUACGUG